rnacentral:rRNA from 1 species
AGAACGAACGCUGGCGGCAGGCUUAACACAUGCAAGUCGAACGCCCCGCGAGGGGAGUGGCAGACGGGUGAGUAACGCGUGGGAAUCUACCCAGAACUUCGGAACAACUGAGGGAAACUUCAGCUAAUACCGGAUACGCCCUACGGGGGAAAGAUUUAUCGGUUCUGGAUGAGCCCGCGUUGGAUUAGCUAGUUGGUGGGGUAAUGGCCUACCAAGGCGACGAUCCAUAGCUGGUCUGAGAGGAUGAUCAGCCACACUGGGACUGAGACACGGCCCAGACUCCUACGGGAGGCAGCAGUGGGGAAUAUUGGACAAUGGGCGAAAGCCUGAUCCAGCCAUGCCGCGUGAGUGAUGAAGGCCUUAGGGUUGUAAAGCUCUUUCAGUAGGGAAGAUAAUGACGGUACCUACAAAAGAACGCCCGGCUAACUUCGCGCCAGCAGCCGC